AAUAUUGCACAAUGGGGGAAACCCUGAUGCAGCGACGCCGCGUGAGCGAAGAAGGCCUUCGGGUCGUAAAGCUCUGUCCUAGGGGAAGAAACGGACGGUACCUUAGGAGGAAGCCACGGCAAACUACGUGCCAGCAGCCGCGGUAAUACGUAGGUGGCGAGCGUUGUCCGGAAUUACUGGGCGUAAAGCGCGCGUAGACGGCUUAGUAAGUCAGAUGUGAAAGACUCGGGCUUAACCUGGGGGCGGCAUCUGAGACUGUUGAGCUUGAGUGCAGGAGAGGCAAGUGGAAUUCCCAGUGUAGCAGUGAAAUGCGUAGAGAUUGGGAGGAACACCAGUGGCGAAGGCGACUUGCUGGACUGUAACUGACGUUGAGGCGCGAAAGCUAGGGGAGCAAACGGG
rnacentral:rRNA from 1 species